rnacentral:lncRNA from 1 species
AUGUUGGGGGUACCACGAGGAAGCGGCUUUGUAUUCAGAAGUGGUUGCUAUUUACUUUCUCAUCAUUGCAAAGUUGUAGCAAAUGGUUGGAGUUCUUCACAGGCUGCCCUGGAGAAAGACUUCUUAGAGACAUGGAGACACGGAGCUCUACUUCCCUUCAGAGAAGUCUGGAUGUUCUGCUUUGGCCAAGUUCCCUCUGGUCGUGUUCCUUCCUUCCGUCAGUCAGCCAGUCAUCCAACAAAGGCACCGUCUAGAAGUCGUUUUUGAUUAGAAGUUGACCUCAGAAGUAUGCGCGCAUCAUUUUGAAAACAUCUGCCGGC